UUAAUUUGUGUUUUUGAUAUGUUUUUACAGAAAAGAAAGAAAUUGGAAAGUUAGAGAAAAAGUGAAGAAAAAGCUGGAAAAGUGAUUGGGUCAAAGUGAUUUGCCCAAAUCACUCGCAGAAACUGGCCAAAUCACUCGCAGAGACAAAAAUAGAAACUGGACUGAACCCCAGGAAGCGAUUGGGGCAAAAUGAGCAAGUGAUUUGCCCAAAUCAC
rnacentral:lncRNA from 1 species